UGAGUAACCUGCCCUUAACUCUGGGAUAAGCCUGGGAAACUGGGUCUAAUACCGGACAUGACUCCUCAUCGCAUGGUGGGGGGUGGAAAGCUUUUUGUGGUUUUGGAUGGACUCGCGGCCUAUCAGCUAGUUGGUGAGGUAACGGCUCACCAAGGCGACGACGGGUAGCCGGCCUGAGAGGGCGACCGGCCACACUGGGACUGAGACACGGCCCGGACUCCUACGGGAGGCAG
rnacentral:rRNA from 1 species